rnacentral:rRNA from 1 species
UACGUAGGGGGCAAGCGUUGUCCGGAAUCAUUGGGCGUAAAGCGCGUGUAGGCGGCCUUGUAAGUCUGUUCUGAAAGCCCGGGGCUCAACCCCGGGGAGGCGGAUGGAUACUGCAAGGCUCGAGUACGGAAGAGGCGAGUGGAAUUCCCGGUGUAGCGGUGAAAUGCGCAGUUAUCGGGAGGAACACCAAUGGCGAAGGCAGCUCGCUGGGACGUUACUGACGCUGAGACGCGAAAGCGUGGGGAGC